rnacentral:rRNA from 1 species
UAGGGAAUUUUCCACAAUGGGCGAAAGCCUGAUGGAGCAACGCCGCGUGCAGGAUGAAGGCCCUUGGGUUGUAAACUGCUUUUAUGAGUGACGAAUAUGACGGUAACUCAUGAAUAAGGACCGGCUAACUCCGUGCCAGCAGCCGCGGUCAUACGGAGGGUCCAAGCGUUAUCCGGAAUUACUGGGCGUAAAGAGUUGCGUAGGUGGCAUAGUAAGUAGAUAGUGAAAGCGUGGGGCUCAACCUCAUAUCCAUUAUCUAAACUGCUAAGCUAGAGGGCGAGAGAGGUUACUAGAAUUCCUUGUGUAGGAGUGAAAUCCGUAGAUAUAAGGAGGAAUACCGAUGGCGUAGGCAGGUAACUGGCUCGUCCCUGACACUAAGGCACGAAAGCGUGGGUAGCAAACGGGAUUAGAUACCCCCGUAGUCC